rnacentral:rRNA from 1 species
UACAGAGGGGGCAAGCGUUAUUCGGAAUUAUUGGGCGUAAAGGGCGCGUAGGCGGCCUGGCAAGUGGAUGGUGAAAUCCCUCGGCUUAACCGAGGAACUGCCAUCCAGACUGCUUGGCUUGAGACCGGGAGAGGUGAGUGGAAUUCCCAGUGUAGCGGUGAAAUGCGUAGAUAUUGGGAGGAACACCAGUGGCGAAGGCGGCUCACUGGACCGGUACUGACGCUGAUGCGCGAAAGCGUGGGGAGCGAACAGG